rnacentral:rRNA from 1 species
GGAAUUUUGCGCAAUGGGGGAAACCCUGACGCAGCAAUACCGCGUGUGGGAUGAAGGCCUUCGGGUCGUAAACCACUUUUUUCGGGGACGAUAAUGACGGUACCCGAAGAAUAAGCCACGGCUAACUACGUGCCAGCAGCCGCGGUAAUACGUAGGUGGCAAGCGUUGUCCGGAUUUACUGGGCGUAAAGCGCGCGCAGGCGGUGAAUGAAGUCGAAAGUGAAAGCCCCGGGCUCAACUCGGGAACUGCUUUUGAAACCAGUUCACUUGAAGGCGGAAGAGGGAAGUGGAAUUCCGAGUGUAGUGGUGGAAUGCGUAGAUAUUCGGAAGAACACCAGAGGCGAAGGCGACUUCCUGGUCCGAUCUUGACGCUGAGGCGCGAAAGCUAGGGGAGCAAACGGGAUUAGAUACCCCGGUAGUCCUAGCUGUAAACGAUGGAUACUAGGUGUUGGAGGUUUUAACCCCUCCGGUGCCGCAGCUAACGCAUUAAGUAUCCCGCCUGGGGAGUACGGCCGCAAGGCUAAAACUCAAAGGAAUUGACGG